GACGAACGCUGGCGGCGUGCUUAACACAUGCAAGUCGAACGGAAAGGCCCUGCUUUUGUGGGAUGCUCGAGUGGCGAACGGGUGAGUAACACGUGAGUAACCUGCCCUUGACUUUGGGAUAACUUCAGGAAACUGGGGCUAAUACCGGAUAGGAGCUCCUGCUGCAUGGUGGGGGUUGGAAAGUUUCGGCGGUUGGGGAUGGACUCGCGGCUUAUCAGCUUGUUGGUGGGGUAGUGGCUUACCAAGGCUUUGACGGGUAGCCGGCCUGAGAGGGUGACCGGCCACAUUGGGACUGAGAUACGGCCCAGACUCCUACGGGAGGCAGCAGUGGGGAAUAUUGCACAAUGGGCGGAAGCCUGAUGCAGAAACGCCGCGUGCGGGAUGACGGCCUUCGGGUUGUAAACCGCUUUCGCCUGUGACGAAGCGUGAGUGACGGUAAUGGGUAAAGAAGCACCGGCUAACUACGUG
rnacentral:rRNA from 1 species